rnacentral:rRNA from 1 species
AUGCAUCCAGCAGAUCAAACUCUCGAUGCGAGUUUGAAUCAUAGGACCUCCACCUUUAAUCAAGCCAAGCUAGUAGCCCCCCACCCGCCGACACCCUGUUGGAUCUGCUGCUCGGAACCCCACUGGCGAGGCCAACAUAGAGGAAGAAAACGGCAGAACAGGGGCGAUCUUCCGCCGGAUCCGGCCAAACCGCGCAGCGAGGAGAGCCUCGCCACCGUUCAACGCCGCCGGGGAAGACUCCGCCACCACUGGCUUUCCACAUGCACCGCCCCGGUGACGACCCGCCUCGCGCGUAGGAGACCGUCGGAGCUCGCCCACCAUCACCCCCCAUCUUUGAUAGGCUGGGUGUGGCCGCCACCACCGUCGCCGGCGGCGGCAGCGGCCGAGGGAAAGAGAUUAGGCGGGGACUCGCUUAGGGUGGAAGGGGGCCUCCAGAGUUGCCCCGCGCGUGGCAACCCGGGAGGGAGGGGAUUGGAUGGGAGGAGGGAGGAGGGAUGA